AUGCAGUAGAACGCUGAAGAGAGGAGCUUGCUCUUCUUGGAUGAGUUGCGAACGGGUGAGUAACGCGUAGGUAACCUGCCUUGUAGCGGGGGAUAACUAUUGGAAACGAUAGCUAAUACCGCAUAACAAUGGAUGACACAUGUCAUUUAUUUGAAAGGGGCAAUUGCUCCACUACAAGAUGGACCUGCGUUGUAUUAGCUAGUAGGUGAGGUAAUGGCUCACCUAGGCGACGAUACAUAGCCGACCUGAGAGGGUGAUCGGCCACACUGGGACUGAGACACGGCCCAGACUCCUACGGGAGGCAGCAGUAGGGAAUCUUCGGCAAUGGGGGCAACCCUGACCGAGCAACGCCGCGUGAGUGAAGAAGGUUUUCGGAUCGUAAAGCUCUGUUGUAAGUCAAGAACGGGUGUGAGAGUGGAAAGUUCACACUGUGACGGUAGCUUACCAGAAAGGGACGGCUAACUACGUGCCAGCAGCCGCGGUAAUACGUAGGUCCCGAGCGUUGUCCGGAUUUAUUGGGCGUAAAGCGAGCGCAGGCGGUUUGAUAAGUCUGAAGUUAAAGGCUGUGGCUCAACCAUAGUUCGCUUUGGAAACUGUCAAACUUGAGUGCAGAAGGGGAGAGUGGAAUUCCAUGUGUAGCGGUGAAAUGCGUAGAUAUAUGGAGGAACACCGGUGGCGAAAGCGGCUCUCUGGUCUGUAACUGACGCUGAGGCUCGAAAGCGUGGGGAGCGAACAGGAUUAGAUA
rnacentral:rRNA from 1 species